rnacentral:rRNA from 1 species
CCUACGGGGGGCAGCAGUGGGGAAUCUUCCGCAAUGGGCGCAAGCCUGACGGAGCAACGCCGCGUGAAUGAAGAAGGUCUUCGGAUCGUAAAGUUCUGUUCUUAGGGAAGAAGUCUUAGGUUGUGAAUAAUGACUUAAGGUGACGGUACCUAUGGAGAAAGCUCCGGCUAACUACGUGCCAGCAGCCGCGGUAAUACGGAGGGAGCGAUCGUUGUCCGGAAUUACUGGGCGUAAAGGGCGCGUAGGCGGGAACGUAAGGUAGAUGGUAAAACACCGGGCUUAACCGGGAGACUGCAUUUAAAACUGGGGUGCGUGAGGGGAGGAGAGGAAAGUGGAAUUCGUAGUGUAGCGGUGAAAUGCGUAGAUAUUAGGAGGAACACCAGUGGCGAAGGCGACUUUCUGGACUGUACCUGACGCUGAGGCGCGAAAGCAUGGGGAGCGAACAGGAUUAGAUACCCUAGUAGUC